GGCCGGCACCAAAAGUGCCCGCCUCCAGUCGGUCUGGCUUAGGCCGACUGGACCCAUUCGGCCUGAACGAGGCCGAUGCCGUAUUAUUUUUGAAAUUUUUGAAAAACGCGUAUUAUGUUUAAAAAUAUUUAAAAAAUCGUAUUAUUUAAAAAAAAUAGCGAGAAAAUAGAGAUUGGAGGCCCGAGUUGAAAGAGACAAAAAAACGCAAACAUCUCGGUGCUCAGAUUGAUGGGCCUCCUUGAGGUCGUAUGGGCUACGGCACCUCACACAAAUGAGCGCAGACGAAUCACUAGUUUAUUUUCUCAAAAAAAAACAAACACGAAUCACUAGUGUAGGACAGUAGGAACCUACAGGUUCACCUUAAAUAAGUUGGUUUCUCUUCUAGAGCUCUUCUACAGUAAUUAAUUAACUAGGAGUAGUACGCCCAUGUCACAGUCCCUAUGCUACGAAAACGUCGAUGCAAGGCUCCGUAGACGACAGUGGACAGCUGCUCCAUGAAAAUACGCAUGCAAUGCACG
rnacentral:lncRNA from 1 species